GCUGUCUGCCUCCUGGGCUGAUUGGAUUCGUUACUGCUUUGCAACGCGCACCUAACUCCAGGCUGGAGUGCAGUGGCACAAUCUCAGCUUGCUGUGACCUCAGCUCUCUGCGACCUCUGCUUCCUGGACUCAAGUGAUCCUCCCACCUCAGCCUCCUGAGUAGCUGGGACCACCAUAUGCACCAGCACGCCUGGCUCUUGAGGUCCUACCUGGUGUCCUCCAUGAGAGUCAACACAAGCCCCGCUACAGACAACAGAACUGGAAGGUCCUGAGAGCUACCAGAAGCAUCUUCAGUUUUCAUAUGAAAAACUUAAGCCCAGGAGUGAUUUGUGCAGCCAAGGACACACAGCAAGUUAGUGGCUGCACCAGAAAUAGUACUCACUGCCUCAGACAGUCCCUCCCACAGUCUACUCUGUCUCCACCCCAAGGUCUGGUUCUGAAUCAUUCAGUCGUCAGUUGUCUCCUAACUUUUUUUUUUUUUUUUUUUUUGGAGACAGGGUCUCUCUCUGUGGCCUAGGCUGAAGUGCAGUGGUGUGAUUACAGCUCAUGUAGCCUGGACCUCCCAAGCUCAAGCAAUCCUCCUGCCUCUGCCUCCCGAGUAGCUGGGACCACAGGUGGGCAGCACCACACCUGGCUAA
rnacentral:antisense_RNA from 1 species